rnacentral:rRNA from 1 species
UACGUAGGGUGCGAGCGUUGUCCGGAAUCACUGGGCGUAAAGGGUGCGUAGGCGGGUCUUUAAGUCAGGGGUGAAAUCCUGGAGCUCAACUCCAGAACUGCCUUUGAUACUGAGGAUCUUGAGUUCGGGAGAGGUGAGUGGAACUGCGAGUGUAGAGGUGAAAUUCGUAGAUAUUCGCAAGAACACCAGUGGCGAAGGCGGCUCACUGGCCCGAUACUGACGCUGAGGCACGAAAGCGUGGGGAGCAAACAGG